UGACGUUGGGAAAGCGAGCGGCGGAUGGGUGAGUAACACGUGGGGAACCUGCCCCUAAGUCUGGGAUACCAUUUGGAAACAGGUGCUAAUACCGGAUAAUAAAGCAGAUCGCAUGAUCAGCUUUUGAAAGGCGGCGUAAGCUGUCGCUAAGGGAUGGCCCCGCGGUGCAUUAGUUAGUUGGUAAGGUAACGGCUUACCAAGGCGACGAUGCAUAGCCGAGUUGAGAGACUGAUCGGCCACAUUGGGACUGAGACACGGCCCAAACUCCUACGGGAGGCAGCAGUAGGGAAUCUUCCACAAUGGACGCAAGUCUGAUGGAGCAACGCCGCGUGAGUGAAGAAGGUUUUCGGAUCGUAAAGCUCUGUUGUUGGUGAAGAAGGAUAGAGGUAGUAACUGGCCUUUAUUUGACGGUAAUCAACCAGAAAGUCACGGCUAACUACGUGCCAGCAGCCGCGGUAAUACGUAGGUGGCAAGCGUUGUCCGGAUUUAUUGGGCGUAAAGCGAGCGCAGGCGGAAAAAUAAGUCUAAUGUGAAAGCCCUCGGCUUAACCGAGGAACUGCAUCGGAAACUGUUUUUCUUGAGUGCAGAAGAGGAGAGUGGAACUCCAUGUGUAGCGGUGGAAUGCGUAGAUAUAUGGAAGAACACCAGUGGCGAAGGCGGCUCUCUGGUCUGCAACUGACGCUGAGGCUCGAAAGCAUGGGUAGCGAACAGGAUUAGAUACCCUGGUAGUCCAUGCCGUAAACGAUGAGUGCUAAGUGUUGGGAGGUUUCCGCCUCUCAGUGCUGCAGCUAACGCAUUAAGCACUCCGCCUGGGGAGUACGACCGCAAGGUUGAAACUCAAAGGAAUUGACGGGGGCCCGCACAAGC
rnacentral:rRNA from 1 species